rnacentral:rRNA from 1 species
AUACGUAGGUGACAAGCGUUAUCCGGAUUUACUGGGUGUAAAGGGCGUGUAGGCGGUUUGGCAAGUCAGAAGUGAAAUUCCCGGGCUUAACUUGGGCGCUGCUUCUGAAACUGCUUAACUUGAGUGCUGGAGAGGAUAGUGGAAUUCCUAGUGUAGCGGUAAAAUGCGCAGAUAUUAGGAGGAACACCGGUGGCGAAGGCGGCUAUCUGGACAGUAACUGACGCUGAGGCGCGAAAGCACGGGGAGCAAACAGGAUUAGAUACCCUGGUAGUCCGUGCCGUAAACGAUGAAUACUAGGUGUAGGGGGUAUCGACUCCCUCUGUGCCGCAGUUAACACAUUAAGUAUUCCGCCUGGGGAGUACGGCCGCAAGGUUGAAACUCAAAGGAAUUGACGGGG